UACGUAGGAGGCGAGCGUUGUCCGGAUUUACUGGGCGUAAAGAGCGCGCAGGCGGCACACCAAGUACGGAGUGAAAUCUCCCUGCUCAACGGGGAGGGUGCUCUGUAAACUGGUGAGCUAGAGGGCGGAAGAGGAGUGUGGAAUUCCUGGUGUAGCGGUGAAAUGCGCAGAUAUCAGGAGGAACACCAGUGGCGAAGGCGGCACUCUGGGCCGGUACUGACGCUGAGGAGCGAAAGCGUGGGGAGCGAACAGG
rnacentral:rRNA from 1 species